AUACGUAGGGGGCAAGCGUUGUCCGGAAUCAUUGGGCGUGAAGGGCGCGUAGGCGGAUAUUUAGGUCUGAUGUGAAAACCUAGGGCUCAACCCUGGGACUGCAUCGGAAACUGGGUAUCUUGAGGACAGGAGAGGAAAGUGGAAUUCCACGUGUAGCGGUGAAAUGCGUAGAUAUGUGGAGGAACACCAGUGGCGAAGGCGACUUUCUGGACUGUAACUGACGCUGAGGCGCGAAAGCGUGGGGAGCAAACAGGAUUAGAUACCCUGGUAGUCCACGCCGUAAACGAUGAGUGCUAGGUGUAGAGGGUAUCGACCCCUUCUGUGCCGCAGUAAACACAAUAAGCACUCCGCCUGGGGAGUACGGCCGCAAGGCUGAA
rnacentral:rRNA from 1 species